UGUGUCUGUGCCCUUAUUAUUGGCAUCUCAAACGCUCACCUUCCAGUGCAGUUACAGAAGGCACCUGUGUUUCUGGCAGUAUGAAUAUAUAGUGGCAAAUGUUUUUUUCUUAUAAUUGCGCAGAUUUUCUAGUUCUAAUUUUCUAGGUGUUCUAAAAGUAAAAAGCAGCCUUGCCAAAGGACAUUGAAGAGUACAGAUCAGAAGAUGGUCCACUAAACGGAUAAUGGCCAAACCACAAAUUUCUACGGAGAACUGCGCCCACAGAUCUGCGUGUAGGAAAGGAAGGAUGGUGCCGCUGAAUAGCUGCAGUCCAAACUGCAAAUUCUACAGGGAACUGCGCCCACAGAUCUGCAUGCAGGAAAGCAAUGAUGGUGCUGCUGAAUAGCUGCAGG